rnacentral:tRNA from 1 species
AGGUGUUUCGCCAAGUGGUUAAGGCAGUGGUUUUACAUGCCACCAUGCGAAGGUUCAAAUCCUUCAACACCUACCA